rnacentral:rRNA from 1 species
GAACUUAAGCAUAUCAAUAAGCGGAGGAAAAGAAACCAACAGGGAUUGCCUUAGUAACGGCGAGUGAAGCGGCAACAGCUCAAAUUUGAAAUCUGGCUCUUUUAGAGUCCGAGUUGUAAUUUGUAGAAGAUGCUUUGGGUGUAGCUCCGGUCUAAGUUCCUUGGAACAGGACGUCAUAGAGGGUGAGAAUCCCGUAUGUGACUGGGUGCUUUCGCUCGUGUAAAGCUCUUUCGACGAGUCGAGUUGUUUGGGAAUGCAGCUCAAAAUGGGUGGUAAAUUUCAUCUAAAGCUAAAUAUUGGCCAGAGACCGAUAGCGCACAAGUAGAGUGAUCGAAAGAUGAAAAGCACUUUGGAAAGAGAGUUAAACAGUACGUGAAAUUGUUGAAAGGGAAGCGCUUGCAAUCAGACUUGCGCGCUGUUGAUCAUCCGAGCUUUUGCCCGGUGCACUCGGCAGCGUUCAGGCCAGCAUCGGUUUUGGUGGGCGGAUAAAGGCCUUGGGAAUGUAGCUUCUUUCGGGGAGUGUUAUAGCCCUCGGUGCAAUGCGCCCUACCAGGACCGAGGACCGCGCUUCGGCUAGGAUGCUGGCGUAAUGGUUGUAAGCGACCCGUCUUGAAACACGGACCAAGGAGUCUAACAUCUAUGCGAGUGUUUGGGUGUCAAACCCAUACGCGUAAUGAAAGUGAACGGAGGUGAGAACCCUUAAGGGUGCAUCAUCGACCGAUCCUGAUGUCUUCGGAUGGAUUUGAGUAAGAGCAUAGCUGUUGGGACCCGAAA